rnacentral:rRNA from 1 species
ACGAACGCUGGCGGCGUGCUUAACACCUGCAAGUCGAACGAUGAACCCGGAGCUUGCUCUGGGGGAUUAGUGGCGAACGGGUGAGUAACACGUGAGUAACCUGCCCUGGACUCUGGGAUAAGCGUUGGAAACGACGUCUAAUACCGGAUAGGACCUUGGAUCGCAUGAUCUGGGGUGGAAAGUUUUUUCGGUCUGGGAUGGACUCGCGGCCUAUCAGCUUGUUGGUGAGGUAAUGGCUCACCAAGGCGUCGACGGGUAGCCGGCCUGAGAGGGUGACCGGCCACACUGGGACUGAGACACGGCCCAGACUCCUACGGGAGGCAGCAGUGGGGAAUAUUGCACAAUGGGCGAAAGCCUGAUGCAGCAACGCCGCGUGCGGGAUGACGGCCUUCGGGUUGUAAACCGCUUUUAGUAGGGAAGAAGGGCUUCGGCUUGACGGUACCUGCAGAAAAAGGACCGGCUAACUACGUG